rnacentral:Y_RNA from 1 species
GCCUGGUCCAAGUGCAGUGGCGUUUAUGACUAAUUGAUCGCAACCGGUUAUAGAUUCCUUUGUUCCUUCUCCACUCCCACUGCUUCACUAGACUAGCCUUAA